GUGGGGAAUUUUGGACAAUGGGCGCAAGCCUGAUCCAGCAAUGCCGCGUGCAGGAAGAAGGCCUUCGGGUUGUAAACUGCUUUUGUACGGAACGAAACGGUCCUGGUUAAUACCUGGGGCUAAUGACGGUACCGUAAGAAUAAGCACCGGCUAACUACGUGCCAGCAGCCGCGGUAAUACGAAGGGUGCAAGCGUUAAUCGGAAUUACUGGGCGUAAAGCGCGCGUAGGUGGUUUUGUAAGUUGGAGGUGAAAUCCCCGGGCUCAACCUGGGAAGUGCAUUCGUGACUGCAAGGCUAGAGUGUGUCAGAGGGAGGUGGAAUUCCGCGUGUAGCAGUGAAAUGCGUAGAGAUGCGGAGGAACACCGAUGGCGAAGGCAGCCUCCUGGGAUAACACUGACGCUCAGGCACGAAAGCGUGGGGAGCAAACAGGAUUAGAUACCCGGGUAGUCC
rnacentral:rRNA from 1 species